GGUUAGUUCCUGACAUAUUCCUGUAAAGAUCUGCUAAUUUGAGGAAAGAACAUUUGCAUUUUCAAGACAUUUUGCACUGAAACUUUAUGCUUCAGUGCACUGAAAGUGUUUAUAGACCUGUGAGUUUAUGACCGAGUGAUUUUCUAGACCUCGACUGUGGAUCUGAAACAUGACUUUAAUAUCCAUCCUUGUUUGUGUACUUACAACCUGCACCUGGGUCACUGUUGGGCAGAUUUUGACUCAGUCUGCAGAUCAAAUAGUACAGUCUGGUGAAACUGUAACUAUUGAAUGUAAACAUACACCAGCUCUUGAUUGCUUUGCUUUAAAAGCAAAAACUCAGUUUUGUAUGUCCUGGUACCAUCAGAUUCCUGGAGAAGUUCCUAAACUCCUGAUCUAUUACACAUCAAACAGAGCUUCAGGUGUUUCUGAAAGAUUCAGUGGCAGUGAGGAUGGAAAACACAUUGAUUUUACUCUGACCAUCAGUAAAGUUCAGCCUGAAGAUUCAGGAGUUUAUUACUGUCAGAGUCAACAUACCAGAACAGGAGACCCAAAGAACUAUGACUGGGUGUUCACACCGUGUUAAAGCGUCAUACAAAAACCUAUUUCACGCUUCACUGCAGGUGGAUCUUUCUGAAAGUGUAGAGGGGAAUAAACAGACAUACAGAAUAGAUAAAAACUUCAUAUGUUUAUUUGAGUCUAAGCAGUUGUAUUUAAAUUCUGUCAAAUAUUUAGACAUCUACCAAACUGCAAGACCAAUAAAAUCCUGAAUACAUUUAUAAUUAUAUA